CUCAUAAUUCAGAAAAUUCUCUCAAACGUCAAAGCUCUCUCUCCAUCCUCUAGUGCAAUCCACGGUUUUCAAGCAAGGAAGAAGAAGAAGAAGAAGGAGCCGUGAGCAUCAUCAUCCAUCCUCCACCUUGAAGACUUGCUUCCAAGAUUCAAGAAUCCAAACGCCAAGCAUCCAUCCCCUCUCCAUCUCACGGUGUGUACCCUCAAUCCCCGGAAUAGAACAAUCCCUACUUGCUUAUACUACUAAUGAUAUUUUUAGGGUUAAAUUAUGCGCUUGCUUUGAGCGUAUCAGCUAGACAAUCAUAACAUGUUUAACGCAUGAAACACAUAGAAAGGCUAUCAACUCAAGUGUGCAACUUAGUAUGAAAAAGUCCACCUAAUUGCAAUCUUUUUCAAUUAAACUCGGUUUUUGUCCAAAA